AUGGAUCCGCGUGACAUACUGAAUGUGAGGUUUCAUUUCAAUGGUCAACUUAUUCGAAUUGGGCCUGAUUUAGACUAUGUUGGGGGAGAUGAGGCAAUGCCAGAGAUAGUAAGAGACAAGUUGUCUUUGCCGGAAGUGAAAGGUUUUCUUGCUGAUCAUGUUCCUUUCAAAGAAAGUAUGAAGAUUUUCUUUCUGGUGCCUGGUAAAGAACAAGUGGAUGGGUUGUUAUCUUUGUGUGAUGAUGUUGGCUGUAUGAAGAUGUCUGAAUAUAUAACUGCGGGAGGAGUUGCAGAGGUUUAUGUGGAAUAUUUUGGGGAGCAAGAUGAUGAAAGUGCAAGUGACAGUGGAAGUGACUUCGAAAAUGAGAUGGGAAAUGAGGUAGCAGAAGAUGUGCAGAUUGUUUGUGUAAAUCCAUCAUCCUUGACUGGAACUGAGAAUUUUCUUGUACCAAAUGGGAGUGGUGUUAUUACUCAAGUGAUUAGCAGCCCUACAAAACAGAAUUUCACUAGGAAACAGAGGCCUAACAUAGAGGUACAGGGACAGAGUUCUCAAUUGCAUGUUCCGGAAGAUUACAUUACUGGCACGUCUCAGGUCUUCAAUCCAGGAUCACAAAGUGGGAGUGGAGCAGCUCAUCAACCAAUUAUCCAUCAGGUAGAUCAUGCACAGGAACAUGAGAGUGAUGGCGGUGGCUCUGCAUUUUCAGACAGUGAGGAAGAUGAUAGUGAUUAUGUGGCAGGAAGUGAUGAUAGUGGAUUGGAUGAUGAAUAUGUGGAACUAAGGGAAGAAGCAAGGGCUUUUAAGAAGAGAAUUAGAGACUCAAAGAGGUGGGCUGAGAGAAAUCCAUAA
rnacentral:rRNA from 1 species